GCGCGAUUUGGCGGAGCGGUGCUCCGCCUUUGAAAAUCGCGCGCUGGUUCGAUCCCGGUAUCGCGCA
rnacentral:tRNA from 1 species